rnacentral:rRNA from 1 species
UACGGAGGGUGCAAGCGUUAUCCGGAUUCACUGGGUUUAAAGGGUGUGUAGGCGGAUAUUUAAGUCAGUGGUGAAAUCUUCGGGCUCAACCCGAAAACUGCCAUUGAUACUAUUUAUCUUGAAUUCUGUUGAGGUGGGCGGAAUACAUCAUGUAGCGGUGAAAUGCUUAGAUAUGAUGUAGAACACCGAUUGCGAAGGCAGCUCACUAAACAGCGAUUGACGCUGAGGCACGAAAGCGUGGGGAUCAAACAGGAUUAGAAACCCCCGUAGUCC